AUUAUGGAGAGUUUGAUCCUGGCUCAGAGUGAACGCUGGCGGCGUGCCUAACACAUGCAAGUCGAACGAUGAUAGAAGAGCUUGCUUUUCUUGAUUAGUGGCGCACGGGUGAGU
rnacentral:rRNA from 1 species